UACGUAGGGGGCUAGCGUUGUCCGGAAUCAUUGGGCGUAAAGCGCGUGUAGGCGGUCCGGUAAGUCCGCUGUGAAAGUCGGGGGCUCAACCCUCGAAUGCCGGUGGAUACUGUCGGGCUAGAGUACGGAAGAGGCGAGUGGAAUUCCUGGUGUAGCGGUGAAAUGCGCAGAUAUCAGGAGGAACACCAAUUGCGAAGGCAGGUCGCUGGGACGUUACUGACGCUGAGACGCGAAAGCGUGGGGAGCAAACAGG
rnacentral:rRNA from 1 species